rnacentral:rRNA from 1 species
AGAGGGGGGUGGAAUUCCGCGUGUAGCAGUGAAAUGCGUAAAGAUGUGGAGGAACACCAAUGGCGAAGGCAGCCCCCUGGGUCGAUACUGACGCUCAUGCACGAAAGCGUGGGUAGCAAACAGGAUUAGAUACCCUGGUAGUCCACGCCCUAAACGAUGUCAACUAGGUGUUGGGAGGGUAAAACCUUUUAGUGCCGUAGCUAACG